AACGCGAAGAACCUUACCUGGAUUUGAAAUACAGAGGAAGUUAGCAGAGAUGCUAACGCCCGUAAGGGCUUUUGUACAGGUGCUGCAUGGCUGUCGUCAGCUCGUGCCGUGAGGUGUUGGGUUAAGUCCCGCAACGAGCGCAACCCUUAUCAUUAGUUGCCAACGCGAAAGGCGGGGACUCUAGUGAGACUGCCUGGGUUAACCAGGAGGAAGGUGAGGAUGACGUCAAGUCCGCAUGGCCUUUAUAUCCAGGGCUACACACGUGCUACAAUGGUCGGUACAGAAGGCAGCGAAACCGCGAGGUGGAGCAAAUCCCUAAAACCGAUCUCAGUUCAGAUUGUAGUCUGCAACUCGGCUACAUGAAGUUGGAAUUGCUAGUAAUGACGUGUCAGCAACAACGUCGUGAAUACGUUCCCGGGCCUUGUACACACCGCAUAC
rnacentral:rRNA from 1 species